rnacentral:lncRNA from 1 species
AAUUUAAGCAAAGCUAUAAAUUGCGGUUAAUGGAGUAAUAUGUUCUAGAAGACUCCAUUUGCCCGAGGGUGUUUUCUGUCUGCCAACACAUCUGCGUCACAAAAUCAAUCCGUGCAAGGUACGUACAAGGUCCAAGUACCUUGGCAGAACAAGGGAACCGUUUUCUAGUCCUGUUAAUAUUACAAAAUAUCAGAUAAAAAUCGAACUUUGGCUACUAAGCAUGUGAACAACUGAUGCAAACUUAAGAUUAACCAAUCAGAAGUUAUCCUGAAGGUUUUCCUUCACGUGCAUACAUACAAUGCCCCCCUUUUUGCGCAAGGACUUUUGAUCGCAAUUUCGACGUGCUUUGUUCAUUCUCAAGACUUUAGCCAGUGCGUUAACAUCUCUGGCAAAAUUUUUAGUUUAUAAUUCAAGGGAUAAAAACCUUGGCAAAGAAGUGAAAAUUUGGAAGAAAAAAAAUUAAAUAUUGUUGACUUACAAUGCCUAAAGAAAAAGGCAAGCGUCGUUCAGGACCAACUCGAGGCUCAACUCGUGGCCGUCCGCAGCGUGGCAUCGAGCAAACGCCGGCUGCAGAUGUUGGUGAAAGUUCAACGACGCCGUCGAGUACUGCUGGGGUGAACUACGCCGACUUAUCAACGGAGGUUCUCCAUCUCCUCCUGGCGCAACGAAAUCUCGCGCUUUCUGGCUUGCGUGAUACUCUUCUUCGUCGCCUCGCCGAUCACGAUGGAGCAGAAGUCCCAGCUGCAUCGAGUGCCGAUCCGAGACCCGGCUCAACACCGGAAUACUCAUCUGAAUCUCUCCGCUCGCUUGCGUCGAACCUUGUUCCUCUUCUCCGCGACGUUUUGGCCCAACAAAACGGGUCGCCGCCAACUAUGCCACCUCAACCACCGUCGCUGCCAAGUUUUCCCGCGCAAAACGCUCCAACGCCGCCUCUGGACCUCGGUAAUCCAUCACAAGUUGCCAGCC